rnacentral:rRNA from 1 species
AACGAACGCUGGCGGCAGGCUUAACACAUGCAAGUCGAGCGCCCCGCAAGGGGAGCGGCAGACGGGUGAGUAACGCGUGGGAAUCUACCCAUCUCUACGGAAUAACGCAUGGAAACGUGUGCUAAUACCGUAUACGUCCUUCGGGAGAAAGAUUUAUCGGAGAUGGAUGAGCCCGCGUUGGAUUAGCUCGUUGGUGGGGUAAAGGCCGACCAAGGCGACGAUCCAUAGCUGGUCUGAGAGGAUGAUCAGCCACACUGGGACUGAGACACGGCCCAGACUCCUACGGGAGGCAGCAGUGGGGAAUAUUGGACAAUGGGCGCAAGCCUGAUCCAGCCAUGCCGCGUGAGUGAUGAAGGCCCUAGGGUUGUAAAGCUCUUUCACCGGUGAAGAUAAUGGCGGUAACCGGAGAAGAAGCCCCGGCUAACUUCGUGCCAGCAGCCGCCGUAAGAC